AGGACGAACGCUGGCGGCGUGCUUAACACAUGCAAGUCGAGCGGAAAGGCCCUUCGGGGUACUCGAGCGGCGAACGGGUGAGUAACACGUGAGCAACCUGCCCCUGGCCCUGGGAUAGCCUCCGGAAACGGGGAUUAAAUACCGGACAUUCACUUCCUUCCGCAUGGUUGGUGGUGGAAAGUUUUUUCGGCCGGGGAGGGGCUCGCGGCCUAUCAGCUUGUUGGCGGGGUAACGGCCCACCAAGGCGACGACGGGUAGCC
rnacentral:rRNA from 1 species